UCUUCACAUACGUGCAUAUCUAAUCUCCAUCAUACUAUGCCGCAAAUGAAAAAUAUCCAUCACACAAUCUUUCUAGUCCUACAAAUACAUGUCCACAUAAACCAAGACCCAUUCAAAGUGUUUGCCAUGGCUUGCAAGACCACAGUCGUUGUUGCUAUCGCAUGUAUCUUUAUGUUGGCACUCCUCGUGUCUUCUGCUCAAGGGGACUGCAAGGGCCAUGCUAUUAAAGUAGAAUGCAACAACAAUGAUUCAUGCAUUAAGUGGUGCCAUUACUUCGGAAUCCCUCGUGGGCAUUGUCAUAUUCAUAGUGGUGGAGGCUAUUGUGUGUGUGAUGUUUGUGACUAGUUUGGUACUGCUAGUUUGUACCAGCAAGUUUCUCAAAAUAAAUAAAUAAGGUGCAUCUAUCCAACA